GCCGGCAGCUAGCUCUCUGCAACUCACAUGGACGCCCACUGAAGCUUUUGUUUCGCUCACAUGGUCGCCCGGUGAGUACCUGGAUGGGAGACCACAUGGGAGAGCUAGGUUGCUGCCAGAA
rnacentral:rRNA from 1 species